GAAAGCAAAAAUAUCGGUGCUGAGGGGCACCCUUUUGUCCUAGCCAGCCUGAAGAGUGACCACAAACAAAAAACGCGAUCGCGCGCGAGCAAUUUCAGGUUGUUCGGCCGAGUGCGCGCGCUCUUUACUCGACGUGCUUUGCGGUGCGCGUAUGUGCGUGUAUAGAUUCCAUUGAAGGGCAUUUCGCGAAUCUGUGGAGAGGCGUUUUGUUUGCGCCAUCGGGGCGGAGAGAAGGCCGGUCUUUUUCACGAUGGUCGAUGCCGAGAGAAUUGCCAGCGGAAUAAAUCGCAUCUUGCCCGAUGAUUGUUUUCGGUUCGUCAAUGCAUGUGGUCGCACGCUUGAUACAAGAAGAAAUAAUGUUCUCCAGCCAGCAUUACGAGCGUUAAGUCUUCAAUUUGACGUUGUUGAAGCAAUCGUGAUAUUGUGUAAUACGUACGACCCGUGUCUUCGAAGUGUCUGCAAUUGCAUUUUCGAUGGACGUUUUGGUAUCAUGGACGUCGUGAUAUCACGGAUGAGAUAAUGUUAUUGAAAUGCGCAUAAUAAUGUCACAUGUAUACAUGCAAGCGCACACAUCACAUAUAUACAAGUGUACAAAAAUUAUCUCGUAAUGCACAUUAGAAUAUUAGAGUAUUGGAAUAAAUCGAGAAAGUUGAUGCCACAUCCAAAAGAGACGACAUAUGCUGGUCGUAUGCGUUACUAAUAGGUUGGCGUCGCGUGUCAAAGGGACGUCACAUGUGAUGCGUGCGUUGCCCUCCCUUUCGCCAUAGUUCUCGCGCAAUUAGCCGAGCUAAAUGCCGCCACACUUUACGUAAUCGUUCGCCUCCUGUUCCCGCGCAAUCCCUUAUUCUUUCUCGCAUAAAACCAAUUGUAAGUAAAAGGUAAAAAAAAAGCAAGUAAGUCCGCGACCUACGAUGCAUCUGUAUUGUGUAUCUGCGUCUCUCGAUUACGAAAUAAAUGUAGCACGCGUUUUCUCUCUCUCUCUCUCUCUCUCUCUCUCUCUCUCUUUUCUCUUUAUGCAAUUAAGAAUAAUAACGGCAUUUUAGCAAAUACGCAACAAUCUGGAUGUUGCAACAUAAUUUGAAUAUUUAAUAUUUUUGAGAAUAUUUACUGAGUAUUUAUAUUGUAUAAUUCUAAAUUUAAAUCUGGAUGCUGUAUAUUUGUUAAUAUACAUAUAUUAUUUUAUAUUAUGAAAAGAGAGAAAGGGGAGAAGGAAAAAGAGAGCAACCAUUUUUUUUUCUCUUCGGCUUUCCGCCGCUUGUCAUGCUGUUUAAAGUUCGGACAAUGCCUAGAAACGCGUCAGCAAGUUUGAGUUACAUGAUGUAUACCCAGAACUUUCGAGUGCCGUCGUGGCUUAUUGCCGAGCACGAAGCUGACUGCCUACCUAUCUUCUUGAUCUCUCGAGAGAGAAAAAUAUUUAAAUGCUGCAGUCGCGACACGUCGCGCUUUGAAUUCAAUAACGCGUCACGGCGUAAGAAAAAAGAGCAUUACUUGAAUCAAGAAAUGGAAAUAUUUAAAUUUGCAUAAUAAACUAGAUUUCUAUGAAUUGUUUUCCUAAUUUUAACAAUAAUAAUUGAUCUUUAAAAAACAAUUAACCUAAAUCUAAUUGAAUAAAAGUUGAAGUGAAGAAUGCACUUUAUUACUUGCCGUGAAACUUUAUAACUUUUACACUUUCAUAAUAAUAAAUUACAGAAACGUUUAGGAAAUUUGAUUUAUUAUAUGCCACACAACGGGUGUAAUAGGUAUAAUUUUUAUUUACAGUGAUUAUAUUUUUAUAUACACAUGAAUAAUGUUGAUGAAUAUUAAAUAAAAAUCAUGCUGAAUAGUUUUUUAUGUGCGUUUUUGCGAGAAAUUCUUAACAACUUGAUGAGUAAUAAAUCAAAGUUAUUAUUUUUCGGACAUUUUGGCUAAAUGCAUAUUAUAUUCUAUAUUAUGUAUAUUUAGCAUGACGGCCGUUGUGUAGGGGUGUGCAUCAUGGCGGAGAAGAUACUCAAGUAUCAUCUUCUUUUUUUUUUCUUUAGAAUACUGCCACGAAAUCAAUGGCAUUGUCUUGAGUGUACGAUGGAUUGCAAUCAAUAUUUUCACAAUAUAGUGGCAUUGUCCGCCCGACACGGUCGAGUUGCGCGAGUAUGCUUCACGUGAAUCAAAGAACUCUUUUCUUCGCAGCGUCCAUUAUUGAACGGAAAAAAGAUGUUUUAAAUUUAUUUGGCCAAAAAAAUUCUUGCAAGAUAUAUAAAUUCUGAAAAUAAAUUGAGUAAAAUUAAAUAGCUAUCGAGAAAGAUAAUCAAAAUAAUAUAAGAUGUGAGACAUAUAAACAUUGAUGAUUUUUAGUUUCUUGUAAUUUAAUAUCUGUCAAUUAAACAACUCGUUAUUAGUCUUUUAGGAUGUUGUAACUAUGUAAUAAUGUAUUCAUCGUCAAAAAAUAUUUUAAUGUUUUAUUCAAAUUUGGUUGUAAAGGAAAAGAAAAAUAUUCGAGCAGAACAUGAUAUAACUGUCACAUUAUACAUAUCUUUCUAUAAAAAAGUUGAUCGGUUCGACAAUCGAGAUUUAAAACAAUUUUUUGUUUGCUUUUUAAUUUUCCUGGUUUUGUUAUUUUAGUAAAAGUUCCUUUAGGAUUAUUACCGUUCCAUCCGCAUUUUGGCGCUCCAAAAUUGCUAGGAAUAAUAAUCGUGUGUAUAUACAUUACAUAUAACAAAACAAAAAAAAAAAAAGACGAAAAAGCAAGUACCAGAUGCCACUAAUUUUGGGUGAUUUAGCAUAACGAUCGCCGAGAAAAGCCGCCCACUGUCGUUCUUUUCCUUGUCAUUUUCGUUGCUUUGAUCGCACCGGCAAAGCUCGUGACAAAUUUUCAACGUAUUCAAACGCAUUCGUCACCCACUACGAAAGUUUUUGUGGUCGAUAAUCUACUUAUUGCAUGUAUAAUAGUAGACUCCAUUCUCUAUCUCCUGAGAACAGCUCUUUUCCGAACUACAUACGUGGGUAUUAGAAAAAUAUGUUGUUUAUUCAUUUAACAACAAGAAUUUUCUUUCUCGAAAGACGUUGUUGCUGUUCUUUAAAAAACAAAUUUUAUUGUUU